UACAGAGGUCUCAAGCGUUGUUCGGAUUCAUUGGGCGUAAAGGGUGCGUAGGCGGCGCGGUAAGUCGGGUGUGAAAUCUCGGAGCUCAACUCUGAAACUGCACUCGAUACUGCUUUGCUUGAGGACUGGAGAGGAGAUUGGAAUUCACGGUGUAGCAGUGAAAUGCGUAGAUAUCGUGAAGAAGACCAGUGGCGAAGGCGGAUCUCUGGACAGUUCCUGACGCUGAGGCGCGAAGGCCAGGGGAGCAAACGGG
rnacentral:rRNA from 1 species